rnacentral:rRNA from 1 species
UACGUAGGGUGCAAGCGUUGUCCGGAAUUAUUGGGCGUAAAGAGCUCGUAGGCGGUCUGUUACGUCGGCUGUGAAAACCUGGGGCUCAACCCCGGGCCUGCAGCCGAUACGGGCAGACUAGAGUUCGGCAGGGGAGACUGGAAUUCCUGGUGUAGCGGUGAAAUGCGCAGAUAUCAGGAGGAACACCGGUGGCGAAGGCGGGUCUCUGGGCCGAAACUGACGCUGAGGAGCGAAAGCGUGGGGAGCAAACAGG